rnacentral:rRNA from 1 species
GAUGAACGCUGGCGGCGUGCCUAACACAUGCAAGUCGAGCGAUCUUCUUCGGAAGAGAGCGGCGGACGGGUGAGUAACGCGUGGGUAACCUGCCCUGUACACACGGAUAACAUACCGAAAGGUAUGCUAAUACGGGAUAAUGUAUUUUAGUCGCAUGGCUAAAAUAUCAAAGCUCCGGCAGUACAGGAUGGACCCGCGUCUGAUUAGCUAGUUGGUAAGGUAACGGCUUACCAAGGCGACGAUCAGUAGCCGACCUGAGAGGGUGAUCGGCCACACUGGAACUGAGACACGGUCCAGACUCCUACGGGAGGCAGCAGUGGGGGAUAUUGCACAAUGGGCGAAAGCCUGAUGCAGCAACGCCGCGUGAGCGAUGAAGGCCUUCGGGUCGUAAAGCUCUGUCCUCAAGAAGAUAAUGACGGUACUUGAGGAGGAAGCCCCGGCUAACUACGUGCCAGCAGCCGCGGUAAU